UACGUAGGGUGCGAGCGUUAAUCGGAAUUACUGGGCGUAAAGCGUGCGCAGGCGGUUCGUUAAGUCAGAUGUGAAAGCCCCGGGCUCAACCUGGGAACUGCAUUUGAAACUGGCGGGCUUGAGUGUGGCAGAGGGGGGUGGGAAUUCCGCGUGUAGCAGUGAAAUGCGUAGAGAUGCGGAGGAACACCGAUGGCGAAGGCAGCCCCCCUGGGCCAACACUGACGCUCAGGCACGAAAGCGUGGGGGAGCAAACAGG
rnacentral:rRNA from 1 species